GUAGGGUGCGAGCGUUGUCCGGAAUUAUUGGGCGUAAAGGGCUCGUAGGCGGUUUGUCGCGUCGGGAGUGAAAACACCGGGCUUAACUCGGUGCUUGCUUUCGAUACGGGCAGACUAGAGGCAUGCAGGGGAGAACGGAAUUCCUGGUGUAGCGGUGAAAUGCGCAGAUAUCAGGAGGAACACCGGUGGCGAAGGCGGUUCUCUGGGCAUGUCCUGACGCUGAGGAGCGAAAGUGUGGGGAGCGAACAGGAUUAGAUACCCUGGUAGUCCACACCGUAAACGUUGGGCGCUAGGUGUGGGGCCUAUUCCAUGGGUUCCGUGCCGCAGCUAACGCAUUAAGCGCCCCGCCUGGGGAGUACGGCCGCAAGGCUAAA
rnacentral:rRNA from 1 species